AGAGCUUGCUCUCUGGGUGGCGAGUGGCGGACGGGUGAGGAAUACAUCGGAAUCUACUUUUUCGUGGGGGAUAACGUAGGGAAACUUACGCUAAUACCGCAUACGACCUACGGGUGAAAGCAGGGGAUCUUCGGACCUUGCGCGAUUGAAUGAGCCGAUGUCGGAUUAGCUAGUUGGCGGGGUAAAGGCCCACCAAGGCGACGAUCCGUAGCUGGUCUGAGAGGAUGAUCAGCCACACUGGAACUGAGACACGGUCCAGACUCCUACGGGAGGCAGCAGUGGGGAAUAUUGGACAAUGGGCGCAAGCCUGAUCCAGCCAUACCGCGUGGGUGAAGAAGGCCUUCGGGUUGUAAAGCCCUUUUGUUGGGAAAGAAAUCCAGCUGGUUAAUACCCGGUUGGGAUGACGGUACCCAAAGAAUAAGCACCGGCUAACUUCGUGCCAGCAGCCGCGGUAAUACGAAGGGUGCAAGCGUUAGUCGGAAUUACUGGGCGUAAAGCGUGCGUAGGUGGUCGUUUAAGUCCGUUGUGAAAGCCCUGGGCUCAACCUGGGAACUGCAGUGGAUACUGGGCGACUAGAAUGUGGUAGACGGGUAGCGGAAUUCCUGGUUGUAGCAGUGAAAUGC
rnacentral:rRNA from 1 species